UAGUCCACGCCGUAAACGAUGUCUACUAGCCGUUGGGAGACUUGAUCUUUUAGUGGCGCAGCUAACGCGAUAAGUAGACCGCCUGGGGAGUACGGCCGCAAGGUUAAAACUCAAAUGAAUUGACGGGGGCCCGCACAAGCGGUGGAGCAUGUGGUUUAAUUCGACGCAACGCGAAGAACCUUACCAACUCUUGACAUCCUGCGAACUUGCUAGAGAUAGCUUGGUGCCUUCGGGAACGCAGAGACAGGUGCUGCAUGGCUGUCGUCAGCUCGUGUUGUGAAAUGUUGGGUUAAGUCCCGUAACGAGCGCAACCCUUGUCCUUAUUUGCCAGCACGUAAAGGUGGGAACUCUAAGGAGACUGCCGGUGACAAACCGGAGGAAGGUGGGGACGACGUCAAGUCAUCAUGGCCCUUACGAGUUGGGCUACACACGUGCUACAAUGGCCGGUACAGAGGGCCGCGAACCUGCGAAGGUAAGCUAAUCUCAGAAAGCCGGUCGUAGUCCGGAUUGGAGUCUGCAACUCGA
rnacentral:rRNA from 1 species